rnacentral:rRNA from 1 species
UACGUAGGGUGCGAGCGUUGUCCGGAAUUAUUGGGCGUAAAGAGCUUGUAGGCGGUCUGUCGCGUCUGCUGUGAAAAUCCGGGGCUCAACCCCGGACUUGCAGUGGGUACGGGCAGACUAGAGUGUGGUAGGGGAGACUGGAAUUCCUGGUGUAGCGGUGAAAUGCGCAGAUAUCAGAGGAACACCGAUGGCGAAGGCAGGUCUCUGGGCCACUACUGACGCUGAGAAGCGAAAGCAUGGGGAGCGAACAGG